rnacentral:rRNA from 1 species
AGCGAACGCUGGCGGCAGGCCUAACACAUGCAAGUCGAACGAACCUUUCGGGGUUAGUGGCGGACGGGUGAGUAACACGUGGGAACGUGCCUUUAGGUUCGGAAUAACUCAGGGAAACUUGUGCUAAUACCGAAUGUGCCCUUCGGGGGAAAGAUUUAUCGCCUUUAGAGCGGCCCGCGUCUGAUUAGCUAGUUGGUUGAGGUAAUGGCUCACCAAGGCGACGAUCAGUAGCUGGUCUGAGAGGAUGAUCAGCCACAUUGGGACUGAGACACGGCCCAAACUCCUACGGGAGGCAGCAGUGGGGAAUCUUGCGCAAUGGGCGAAAGCAUGACGCAGCCAUGCCGCGUGAAUGAUGAAGGUCUUAGGAUUGUAAAAUUCUUUAACCGGGGACGAUAAUGACGGUACCCGGAGAAGAAGCCCCGGCUAACUUCGUG